GAUGAACGCUAGCUACAGGCUUAACACAUGCAAGUCGAGGGGCAGCACAGUGUAGCAAUACAUGGGUGGCGACCGGCGCACGGGUGCGUAACGCGUAUCCAACCUUCCCGUUACUCAGGGAUAGCCUUCCGAAAGGGAGAUUAAUACCUGAUGGUGUUGAAAUUCCGCAUGUUAUUUCAACUAAAGAUUUAUCGGUAACGGAUGGGGAUGCGUGACAUUAGGUAGAUGGCGGGGUAACGGCCCACCAAGGCAACGAUCAGUAGGGGUUCUGAGAGGAAGGUCCCCCACAUUGGGACUGAGACACGGUCCAAACUCCUACGGGAGGCAGCAGUGAGGAAUAUUGGUCAAUGGACGAGAGUCUGAACCAGCCAUGUCGCGUGAAGGAAGACUGUCCUAUGGAUUGUAAACUUCUUUUAUAUGGGAAUAAAGUGAGAAACGUGUUUCUUUUUGUAUGUACCAUAUGAAUAAGCAUCGGCUAACUCCGUGCCAGCCGCCGCUGUAAGAC
rnacentral:rRNA from 1 species